GCAGAGUUUGGAUCAACCUACCUGACGAAAUGCGCCGCAUGGGUACAUCUUUUAUUGCGCUUUAGAAGCUUGCUAAAAGAACAUUAUCAGUUAACAGCUAAGUUGAUUCGGAUUACCCAAGGGCAUGGAGAUCUGUGUGUCUGAAAUGCAAUUCAGCACGCACGUUAAUGCAUGUAUUCUCUAGUUAUCGGGACAGCAGUAAUUGCCUUUACAAGCUGUUGUGGACUCCGGACCACGAGGUAUUCAUUGAUUUGUUUUCUGUCUUGUUUAGUUCUUAAGUGUAUAUACAUCUAUUGGGGGGAAAUAAAUAAAUAAAUAAAUAAAUAAAUAACCACCUUUGGUGCACUAACCUGGGUUGAAAAUCAACCCUGGCUCGUGUAAAUGGGGCCUUUGGAACAGUUACUAUAUUUUUAGACUUUUAUAAAUAGGGUUAUAAUUAGGGUUUUGAUUAGGAAAGGGUUAGGAUAGUAAGGGUUAGGUUUAGGUUUAGGUUUAGGAUUAGGGUUAAGUUUUUAAAAUACAAAAGAAUACCAAAUUACAAAAGUCUAAAAAUAGUAACUCUUCCUAAAACGUAACAGGUUAUAUCCUAAUCUUGAUUUAGAUAACAAUCGUAAGUUACGAAUCGUAACUUCUCUGUAUAUAGCAUUAGAUAAUGUUCUACCUGACCAGGCAGACCUGCCAAGGUUCCCGCAUUUCGCGUGAAAGUAAUACGCAUUCUGCUUUUGUUCCCGCUGUCCCGCACGCAUAACUAAAAUGAUCUUAAAGUUACGCA